GAUGAACGCUGGCGGCGUGCCUAAUACAUGCAAGUCGAACGAGGUGCUUUUGUAGCAAUACGAGAGUAUCCUAGUGGCGAACGGGUGAGUAACGCGUUGGUGACCUACCCCAAAGUGUGGGAUAACAGUCCGAAAGGAUUGCUAAUACCGCAUGUGGUCUUCGGGUUUAGAAACUGAUGACUAAAGGAGCAAUUCGCUUUGGGAGGGACCUGCGUCCCAUCAGCUAGUUGGUGAGGUAAUGGCUCACCAAGGCUACGACGGGUAGGGGACCUGAGAGGGUGACCCCCCACAAUGGAACUGAAACACGGUCCAUACACCUACGGGUGGCAGCAGUAGGGAAUAUUGCACAAUGGGCGAAAGCCUGAUGCAGCAACGCCGCGUGUGCGAUGAAGGCCUUCGGUCGUAAAGCACUUUCUGGGAGAUGAGCAAGGACAGUAUCUCAGGAAUAAGUCUCGGCUAACUACGUGCCAGCAGCCGCGGUAAU
rnacentral:rRNA from 1 species